CCAGGUUUGCAGACUGUGAUGGAAGCAGGAGCAGAGGAGUGAAUUGAAGACUUGUAGACCUACUUUGAUCACAAAUUCACUUUGCAGGUCCAGCAUCAGGCUCUGGCUCUGCAUGAUGCUCCGGUCGCUGGGUUGGGCAUAGAGGAUGGCCACCUCCUUCUCGUUCUUCAUCAGGUGCAGGAUUUCUGUAUGCUCUUGCCUGUUGGAAACAAGCAGCCUGAGCUGGGAUUUGCUCUGCACAAAGACUAGUUGAAGAGACUUUUUCUUUUCUACUGCAUUUUUCAUUUGCUGCUGGCAAGCUCCAAAGGCCAUGAAUACUGGAUGAGAUGAGAUGAGAUGAGCAGAGAGAAAAUGUUUCAGAUGGGUCACAGGAGGGGAAAAUUCUCUAGCUUCCUAUCAAUCUCCUUCCAUGGGAAGGAUUGGAGCUAGGGGCAAGCAACUGCAUCCUCAUACCAUGCUUAAAUUAGUGCCAUUCUCCUGAUUGCAGUGGUGUGUCAUACAAGACAGCUUUUGGACUGGUGCCUUUUUGGAUCUUCUCCAAAGUCAUACUAGUCAGAUGGACUCCUGUUGACCUCAGGCUGGAAACAGCUUUUAUAGCUCCUCCUUCCACCAGUUUUAAUUCCUGGAAUAUGUGGGAAGAUAGUAGCUAGAUGUCACAGAAUUUCUUAGG